GGUCAGUAACUGGACACAGAAGAUGGCAGAGCUGGGUGAGGUGGACGAAGCCGAGUUGCAACGCCUGGUGGUGACCGAACAGCAGAAAGCGCAGUUCGCUGCACAGGUGCAUCACUUCAUGGAGCUAUGUUGGGAUAAAUGUGUGGAGAAGCCAGGGAAUCGCUUAGACUCUCGCACUGAAAAUUGUCUCUCUAGCUGUGUGGACCGCUUCAUUGACACUACUCUUGCUGUCACCAGUCGGUUUGCCCAGAUUGUACAGAAAGGAGGGCAGUAAGCCAUCCCCUGGAAGAAUGACAGAAGCAGCAAAGGACUUAUUAAGCAGACUGAAGGGUCAGUGGGGGAAGGUUGUCAACCCUCUGUCAGGUUAACUUCAGGCUAUUACCAAGCCUGUUGGUGCUAAAAAGUAACAGAUCAAAUGUUCAAAAA